UAAAAAAAAACAGUAAAACCACUACUUAAACAGCAUUUACAUUGUGUUAGGUAUUGUAAAGUAAUCAAGAGAUGAUUUAACAUAUCGGUCCCACAACCUUUUUGGCACCAGGGACUGGUUUUGUGGAAGACAAUUUUUCCACCAACAGCGUGGAGGGUGUGGCAAAUGAAACUGUUCCAUCCCAGAUCAUCAGGCAUUAGUUAGAUUCCCAUAAGGAGCACGCAACCUAGAUCUCUCGGAGUUGCAGUUUACAAUAGGGCUCAUGCUCCUUUGAGAAUCUAAUGCCACUGCUGAUCAGACAGGAGGCGGAGCUCAGGCAGUAAUGUUCACUUGCCCUCUGCUCACUCCACCUGUUUGGCCUGGUUCCUAACAGGCACGGACCAGUAUGCGGCCCAGGCGUUGAGGAACCCCUGAUUUAAAGUACACAGAAGGAUGGAGGUUAGAAAUUCAAUAAGCUGCUUAUGAUGAUGGAGGCCAUGUUUCUCCAGCCAGCUACUCUGAUAUAUGGACAGUGCCUAGCACAAUGCCUGACAAAGAUGGUAUCCCACAAAAUAUGUUGGAGGCUUCAUGAACAUACAUUGAGAUUGACUGCAG
rnacentral:lncRNA from 1 species